rnacentral:rRNA from 1 species
UAAGGAAUAUUGGUCAAUGGACGCAAGUCUGAACCAGCCAUGCCGCGUGGAGGAUGAAGGUCCUCUGGAUUGUAAACUUCUUUUAUCUGGGAAGACAUCACUUUUUUCUAAAGGUGUUGACGGUACCAGAUGAAUAAGCACCGGCUAACUCCGUGCCAGCAGCCGCGGUAAUACGGAGGGUGCAAGCGUUAUCCGGAUUCACUGGGUUUAAAGGGUGCGUAGGCGGAAUGGUAAGUCCGUGGUGAAAUCUCCGAGCUUAACUCGGAAACUGCCGUGGAUACUAUCAUUCUUGAAUGUUGUGGAGGUUUGCGGAAUAUGUCAUGUAGCGGUGAAAUGCUUAGAUAUGACAUAGAACACCGAUUGCGAAGGCAGCAGGCUACACAAAUAUUGACGCUGAGGCACGAAAGCGUGGGGAUCAAACA